rnacentral:rRNA from 1 species
CGGUGGAGCAUGUGGUUUAAUUCGACGCAACGCGAAGAACCUUACCAGGGCUUGACAUCCUCUGACAGCCAUUGAAAGGUGGACUUCUGGCUUUGGUCAGACAGAGAGACAGGUGGUGCAUGGUUGUCGUCAGCUCGUGUCGUGAGAUGUUGGGUUAAGUCCCGCAACGAGCGCAACCCCUACGUCUAGUUGCUAACGUGUAAAGAUGAGCACUCUAGACGGACUGCCGUUGACAAAACGGAGGAAGGUGGGAUGACGUCAAAUCAUCAUGCCCCUUAUGUCCUGGGCUACACACGUGCUACAAUGGCCGGUACAAAGGGAAGCGAAGCCGCGAGGCGGAGCAAAUCCGAUAAAAGCCGGUCUCAGUUCGGAUUGCAGGCUGCAAUUCGCCUGCAUGAAGUCGGAAUCGCUAGUAAUCGCAGGUCAGCAUACUGCGGUGAAUACGUUCCCGGGCCUU